CUGAAACAUCUAAGUACCUGCAGGAAGAGAAAGAAAAUUCGAUUCCCUGAGUAGCGGCGAGCGAAACGGGAAAAGCCCAAACCAGCAAGCUUGCUUGUUGGGGUUGUAGGACUCCAAUAUGGUAGUUCUUUCAGAUAGUCGAAUGACUUGGAAAAGUCAGUCAAAGAGGGUAAAAACCCCGUAGACGAAAUGUGGAAGACACCUAGGAGGAUCCUGAGUACGGCGGAACACGAGAAAUUCCGUCGGAAUCCGGGAGGACCAUCUCCCAAGGCUAAAUACUCCCUAGUGACCGAUAGUGAACCAGUACCGUGAGGGAAAGGUGAAAAGCACCCCGGAAGGGGAGUGAAAUAGAACCUGAAACCGUGUGCCUACAACAAGUCAAAGCCCGUUAAUGGGUGAUGGCGUGCCUUUUGUAGAAUGAACCGGCGAGUUACGAUUGCAUGCGAGGUUAAGUUGAAGAGACGGAGCCGCAGCGAAAGCGAGUCUGAAUAGGGCGUUUGAGUAUGUAGUCGUAGACCCGAAACCAUGUGAUCUACCCAUGUCCAGGUUGAAGGUGCGGUAAAACGCACUGGAGGACCGAACCCACGUACGUUGAAAAGUGCGGGGAUGAGGUGUGGGUAGCGGAGAAAUUCCAAACGAACUUGGAGAUAGCUGGUUCUCUCCGAAAUAGCUUUAGGGCUAGCCUCGGAAUUGAGAAUGAUGGAGGUAGAGCACUGUUUGGACUAGGGGCCCAUCUCGGGUUACCGAAUUCAGAUAAACUCCGAAUGCCAUUCAUUCAUAUCCGGGAGUCAGACUGUGAGUGAUAAGAUCCAUAGUCGAAAGGGAAACAGCCCAGACCACCAGCUAAGGUCCCAAAAUAUAUGUUAAGUGGAAAAGGAUGUGGGGUUGCACAGACAACUAGGAUGUUGGCUUAGAAGCAGCCACCAUUUAAAGAGUGCGUAAUAGCUCACUAGUCGAGUGACCCUGCGCCGAAAAUGUACCGGGGCUAAACAUAUUACCGAAGCUGUGGAGUACACCUUUAGGUGUAUUGGUAGGAGAGCGUUCUAAGGGCGUUGAAGGCAGAUCGUGAGGACUGCUGGAGCGCUUAGAAGUGAGAAUGCCGGUAUGAGUAGCGAAAGACAGGUGAGAAUCCUGUCCACCGAAUGACUAAGGUUUCCUGGGGAAGGCUCGUCCGCCCAGGGUUAGUCGGGACCUAAGCCGAGGCCGACAGGCGUAGGCGAUGGAUAACAGGUUGAUAUUCCUGUACCCGUUGUUUUUGUUUGAGCAAUGGAGGGACGCAGGAGGCUAAGGAAUGCAGACGAUCGGAAAUGUCUGUCCAAGCAGUAAGUCUGAAGAGG
rnacentral:rRNA from 1 species